rnacentral:tRNA from 1 species
UCCAGCGUAGCCAAAUGGUAAGGCAGCCGACUGUUAAUCGGCCUAUGUGGAGGUUCGAUUCCUCCCGCUGGAG